rnacentral:tRNA from 1 species
GGUAGCAUGGCCGAGUGGUCUAAGGCGCUGGAUUAAGGCUCCAGUCACUUUGGGGGCGUAGGUUCGAAUCGCGCUGCUGCCA